rfam:Stegodyphus mimosarum contig101285, whole genome shotgun sequence.
CAAAAGGUUCUUUUCAGAACCAAUUUUUUAAAAAUAUUUUCU